CCCAUGGCCAUUAAAAGUUGUACAAAUCAUGACGCUGCACUCCACGGUUUACGUUCUAGGGGGCGCCAAAGAUAACCCAAAAUCCACAUUCUUAAAAGUCUUAUAACUUUUUAUUUUUGUCCUCACUGCCCUCCAAGUUUUCUAGGAUGAUGCAAUGUCCAGCCAUCAACACAUUUGUGAAGGAAUUUUUACUCCCCAAAAGAGCGCCCCCCCAUGGCAGGAGAAAAAAGUCAAUUUUUUCUUGUCCCCUUACAUGAAAAUACACAUUGUUGAGUGUCACGCCUGAACGCUUUGUCAUAUUGACACAAAAAUUGACAAUCAUGUGUAUCUCAAUUAGAUCUACGAAAAAGUCAAAAAGCGCGUAUCUGUAUAAUGUACGGUUAAAGGGCUAUUUCGCAUUUUUUGCCGAUUAGCACACAUUGGAAUGUGGCUAACUCCUCCUAAGGCUUUCGUCCCACUGAUACCAAAUUUGCUCAGGCCAAUCUACACCCCAUGGCCAUUCAAAGUUGUAAAAAUCAUGACGCUGCACCCCACGGUUUACGUUCUAGGGGGCGCCAAAGAUGACCCAAAUAUCCACAUUCUUAAAAGAAUCCACAUCCCCCCCCCACCCAUCCCCCAUCCCCCAUCCCCCAUGGCACAAGAAACAGUCAAGUUUUUCCUGCCCAUCACUCAAUGGCUCAAUCGCAUCGCUCUCCCGGCAACACCGUAAUGAGGAGCAACUUGCCAUUUGGAUAUAUCCUAGCUGUGUUUGUGCCCUCACUCAUGGUCCAGACUUUUUUCAAAUAGGACAUGUAGUUUGUCUGCAGCGAGUGUUUUGGUAGAAACUGCGCCUCCCAUUCAUUUUAAUGGGAAAUGACCACAGACAAGUGGGCACACCAUCUUUGGACCUUGAGUGUGACGCAAUCAGGAGGGGGAGGCGGUCGCGCUGGGGGCGGCACGACACGGCUCGGGCCCGCCAGUGCCCCACCGGGGCCCUAGUUAGGGCCCGAGCGUAGCUGCUAAGCAGCUGCGAGAGCCCUCUUGUUCCUGCAUGUUUCCUUCUUUCGUUAUUAUUUUUCCUCCGCUUUAAACUGGAAAAUGGCCCACUUCCCACUGGCGAAAACUCAUGAAAUUUGGCAGGACGACCGGGCCUGGUGAAAAAUUUGAUAUUCCGAAGUCGCCCAAACAAGAAAAUGCAAAAUGGCUCCAUAGCGCCCCCUAAGGUGAAAAUUCACAUGACGGCUGUACGCUUUGUCAUAUUGACACAAAAAUUGACACACACAUGUAUCUCAAUAAGAUCUACAAAAAAGUCAGUGCGGGCGUAUCUGUCAAAUGUACGGUUAAUGGGUUAUUUUGCAUUGUUUGCAGAUCUGCACACAUUGGAAUUUCGCUAACUCCUCCGAAGGCUUUCGUUCGACCGGCACCACAUUUGCGCAGGCCAAUCUACCCCCCAUGGCCAUUAAAAGUUGUACAAAUCAUGACGCUGCACUCCACGGUUUAGGUUCUAGGGGGCGCCAAAGAUAACCCAAAAUCCACAUUCUUAAAAGUCUUAUAACUUUUUAUUUUUGUCCUCACUGGCCUCCAAGUUUUCUAGGAUGAUGCAAUGUCCAGCCAUCAACACAUUUGUGAAGGAAUUUUUACUCCCCAAAAGAGCGCCCCCCCCAUGGCAGGAGAAAAAAGUCAAUUUUUUCUUGUCCCCUAAGGUGGAAAUUCACACUAUUGACUGUCACGCCUGUACGCUUUAUCAUAUUGACACAAAAAUUGACACACAUAUGUAUCUCAAUAAUAUCUACAAAAAAGUCAAUGCGCGCGUAUCUGUCAAAUGUACGGUUAAAGGGCUAUUUUGCAUUUUUUGCCGAUUCGCACACAUUGGAAUGUGGCUAACUCCUCCUAAGGCUUUCGUCCCACUGACACCAAAUUUGCUCAGGCCAAUCUACACCCCAUGGCCAUUCAAAGUUGUAAAAAUCAUGACGCUGCACCCCACGGUUUACGUUCUAGGGGGCGCCAAAGAUGACCCAAAAAUCCACAUUCUUAAAAGAAUCCCCCCCCCCCCCAAGGCAGGAGAAAAAGUCAAGUUAACCCUGCCCAUCGCUCAAUGGCUCAAUCGCAUCGCUCUCCAGGCAACACCGUAAGGAGGAGCAACCUGCCAUUUCGAUAUAUCAUAGCUGUGUUUGUGCCCUCACUCAUGGUCCAGACUUUUUUCAAAUAGGACAUGAAGUUUGUCUGCAGCGAGUGUUUUGGUAGAAACUGCGCCUCCCAUUCAUUAUAAUGGGAAAUGACCACAGACAAGUGCGCACACCAUCUUUGGACCUUGAGUGUGACGCGAUCGGGAGGGGGAGGCGGUCGCGCUGGGGGCGGCGCGACGCGGCUCGGGCCCGACAGUGCCCCACCGGGGCCCUAGUUAGGGCCCGAGCGUAGCUGCUAAGCAGCUGCGAGAGCCCUCUUGUUCCUGCAUGUUUCCUUCUUUCGUUAGGGCCCGAGCGUAGCUGCUAAGCAGCUGCGAGAGCCCUCUUGUUCCUGAUGGAUUCUUCUUUUGUUAUUAUUAUUAGGGCCCGAGCGUAGCUGCUAAGCAGCUGCGAGAGCCCUCUUGUUCCUGAUGGAUUCUUCUUUCGUUAUUUUUCCUCCGCUUUAAACUGGAAAAUGGCCCACUUCCCACUGGCGAAAACUCAGGAAAUUUGGCAGGACGACCGGGCCUGGUGAAAAAUUUGAUAUUCUGAAGUCGCCCAAACAAAAAAAUGAAAAAUGGCUCCAUAGCGCCCCCUAUGGUGAAAACUCACCUGACGCCUGUACGCUUUGUCAAAAUGACACAAAAUUUGACACACAUGUGUAUCUCAAUAAGAUCUACAAAAAAGUCAGUGCGGGCGUAUCUGUCAAAUGUACCGUUAAAGGGCUAUUUCGCAUUUUUUGCCGAUCCGCACACAUUGGAAUUUCGCUAACUCCUCCGAAGGCUUUCGUUCCACCGGCACCAAAUUUGCUCAGGCCAAUCUACACCCCAUGGCCAUUAAAAGUUGUACAAAUCAUGACGCUGUACCCCACGGUUUAUGUUCUAGGGGGCGCCAAAGAUAACCCAAAAAUCCACAUUCUUAAAAGUCUUAUAACUUUUUAUUUUUGUCCUCACUGGCCUCCAAGUUUUCUAGGAUGAUGCAAUGUCCAGCCAUCAACACAUUUGUGAAGGAAUUUUUACUCCCCAAAAGAGCGCCCCCCCAUGGCAGGAGAAAAAAGUCCAUUUUUUCUUGUCCCCUAAGGUGCAAAUACACAUUGUUGAGUGUCACGCCUGUACGCUUUGUCAUAUUGACACAAAAUUUGACAAUCACGUGUGUCUCAAUAACGUCUACGAAAAAGUCAAUGCACGCGUAUCUGUAAAAUGUACGGUUAAAGGGCUAUUUUGCAUUUUUUGCCGAUUCGCACACAUUGGAAUGUGGCUAACUCCUCCUAAGGCUUUCGUCCCACCGACACCAAAUUUGCUCAGGCCAAUCUACACCCCAUGGCCAUUCAAAGUUGUAAAAAUCAUGACGCUGCACCCCACGGUUUACGUUCUAGGGGGCGCCAAAGAUGACCCAAAAAUCCACAUUCUUAAAAGAAUCCACAUCCCCCCCCCCAUCCCCCAUCCCCCAUCCUCCAUGGCAGGAGAAACAGUCAAGAUUUUCCUGCCCAUCACUCAAUGGCUCAAUCGCAUCGCUCUCCCGGCAACACCGUAACGAGGAGCAACUUGCCGUUUGGAUAUAUCCUAGCUGUGUUUGUGCCCUCACUCAUGGUCCAGACUUUUUUCAAAUAGGACAUGUAGUUUGUCUGCAGCGAGUGUUUUGGUAGAAACUGCGCCUCCCAUUCAUUAUAAUGGGAAAUGACCACAGACAAGUGCGCACACCAUCUUUGGACCUUGAGUGUGACGAGAUCGGGAGGGGGAGGCGGUCGCGCUGGGGGCGGCGCGACGCGGCUCGGGCCCGACAGUGCCCCACCGGGGCCCUAGUUAUUAUUUUUCCUCCGCUUUAAACUGGAAAAUGGCCCACUUCCCACUGGCGAAAACUCAUGAAAUUUGGCAGGACGACCGGGCCUGGUGAAAAAUUCGAUAUUUUGAAGUCGCCCAAACAAUAAAAUGCAAAAUGGCUCCAUAGCGCCCCCUAAGGUGAAAAUUCACACUAUUGACUGUCACGUCUGUACGUUUUGUCAUAUUGACACAAAAAUUGACACACAUAUGUAUCUCAAUAAGAUCUACAAAAAAGUCAGUGCGGGCGUAUCUGUCAAAUGUACGGUUAAAGGGUUAUUUCGCAUUUUUUGCCGAUCCGCACACAUUGGAAUUUCGCUAACUCCUCCGAAGGCUUUCGUUCCACCGGCACCACAUUUGCUCAGGCCAGUCUACACCCCAUGGCCAUUAAAAGUUGUACAAAUCAUGACGCUGCACCCCACGGUUUAGGUUCUAGGGGGCGCCAAAGAUAACCCAAAAAUCCACAUUCUUAAAAGUCUUAUAACUUUUUAUUUUUGUCCUCACUGGCCUCCAAGUUUUCUAGGAUGAUGCAAUGUCCAGCCAUCAACACAUUUGUGAAGGAAUUUUUACUCCCCAAAAGAGCGCCCCCCCAUGGCAGGAGAAAAAAGUCAAUUUUUUCUUGUCCCCUUACAUGAAAAUACACAUUGUUGAGUGUCACGCCUGAACGCUUUGUCAUAUUGACACAAAAAUUGACAAUCAUGUGUAUCUCAAUUAGAUCUACGAAAAAGUCAAAGAGCGCGUAUCUGUAUAAUGUACGGUUAAAGGGCUAUUUCGCAUUUUUUGCCGAUUCGCACACAUUGGAAUGUGGCUAUCUCCUCCUAAGGCUUUCGUCCCACUGAUACCAAAUUUGCUCAGGGCAAUCUACACCCCAUGCCCAUUCAAAGUUGUAAAAAUCAUGACGCUGCACCCCACGGUUUACGUUCUAGGGGGCGCCAAAGAUGACCCAAAAAUCCACAUUCUUAAAAGUCAUUUUGGCCACUGCAGGAGUACAGAGUACUGCAGUUCUAGGGGGCGCCAAAGAUGACCCAAAAAUCCACAUUCUUAAAAGUCUUUUUGGCCACUGCAGGAGUACAGAGUACUGCAGGAUACACACACAUAUACACACACGCCAACACACACACACACACACACACACACACACACACACACACACACACACACACACUCAGAGUCUGGUUUUUAGCACCUGCAAAAACAUGCUGUUUACAUAUUUGACAAGAAUGCAGAGGCUUCCUUUUGCCCCUGAAAAAAAUCAAAUUUCAAACACAACUUGACUGUUCAUUUCUCCAAAAGACAACCAUGAAGCUCCAUCCAAACCUGAAGCAGAUAGUUGGUGCAUGUGUACAGUAACCUGAGGGGAGUGAGGUGACUAUUUCUGAGGAGAACAUGAGCAGUGAAGAUUCACCUUGGAGCUAGAACAGGGACGUGCACAUGAUUAUACAGGGGCAGGGGCUCAAGUUUUUUCCAGUCAUUUAUACAAUAUGGAAAUUAAUGUGAAAUUAAAAAACAAAGUAUUAAUAGAAAGGUUAUGACUGUCCUGUGUAGAUGACAGUGAUAUCCAAUAGGCUAGGCACUCACGAGGCUGGCUGUGGCAAGUGUAAGUGAAAGCAACACGCACUGGCAGGAAGAACAGCAAACGCCGAUGAAGGAAAGGGUCUUUGCAGUGAUGGGCGUUACCAGAGAGGACGAUGGCCAGAGGACGCGAAUCGGACGGGGAGGCAGCGCGUUGGGGGGGGCAGCGCGACACGGCUCGGGCCCGCCAGUGCCCCAACGGGGCCCUAGUUAUUAUUUUUCCUCCGCUUCAAACUGGAAAAUGGCCCACUUCCCACUGGCGAAAACUCAGGAAAUUUGGCAGGACGUCCGGGCCUGGUGAAAAAUUCGAUAUUCUGAAGUCGCCCAAACAAUAAAAUGCAAAAUGGCUCCAUAGCGCCCCCUAAGGUGAAAAUUCACAUGACGGCUGUACGCUUUGUCAUAUUGACACAAAAAUUGACACACACAUGUAUCUCAAUAAGAUCUACAAAAAAGUCAGUGCGGGCGUAUCUGUCAAAUGUACGGUUAAUGGGUUAUUUUGCAUUUUUUGCAGAUCUGCACACAUUGGAAUUUCGCUAACUCCUCCGAAGGCUUUCGUUCGACCGGCACCACAUUUGCGCAGGCCAAUCUACCCCCCAUGGCCAUUAAAAGUUGUACAAAUCAUGACGCUGCACCCCACGGUUUACGUUCUAGGGGGCGCCAAAGAUAACCCAAAAAUCCACAUUCUUAAAAGUCUUAUAACUUUUUACUUUUGUCCUCACUGGCCUCCAAGUUUUCUAGGAUGAUGCAAUGUCCAGCCAUCAACACAUUUGUGAAGGAAUUUUUACUCCCCAAAAGAGCGCCCCCCCCAUGGCAGGAGAAAAAAGUCCAUUUUUCCUUGUCCCAUAAGGUGAAAAUACACAUUGCUGACUGUCAUACCUGUACGCUUUGUCAUAUUGACACAAAAUUUGACACACACAUGUAUCUCAAUAAGAUCUAAGAAAAAGUCAAUGCGCGCGUAUCUGUAAAAUGUACGGUUAAAGGGCUAUUUUGCAUUUUUUGCCGAUUAGCACACAUUGGAAUGUGGCUAACUCCUCCUAAGGCUUUCGUCCCACUGAUACCAAAUUUGCUCAGGCCAAUCUACACCCCAUGGCCAUUCAAAGUUGUAAAAAUCAUGACGCUGCACCCCACGGUUUACGUUCUAGGGGGCGCCAAAGAUGACCCAAAUAUCCACAUUCUUAAAAGAAUCCACAUCCCCCCCCCACCCAUCCCCCAUCCCCCAUCCCCCAUGGCACAAGAAACAGUCAAGUUUUUCCUGCCCAUCACUCAAUGGCUCAAUCGCAUCGCUCUCCCGGCAACACCGUAAUGAGGAGCAACUUGCCAUUUGGAUAUAUCCUAGCUGUGUUUGUGCCCUCACUCAUGGUCCAGACUUUUUUCAAAUAGGACAUGUAGUUUGUCUGCAGCGAGUGUUUUGGUAGAAACUGCGCCUCCCAUUCAUUUUAAUGGGAAAUGACCACAGACAAGUGGGCACACCAUCUUUGGACCUUGAGUGUGACGCAAUCAGGAGGGGGAGGCGGUCGCGCUGGGGGCGGCACGACACGGCUCGGGCCCGCCAGUGCCCCACCGGGGCCCUAGUUAGGGCCCGAGCGUAGCUGCUAAGCAGCUGCGAGAGCCCUCUUGUUCCUGCAUGUUUCCUUCUUUCGUUAUUAUUUUUCCUCCGCUUUAAACUGGAAAAUGGCCCACUUCCCACUGGCGAAAACUCAUGAAAUUUGGCAGGACGACCGGGCCUGGUGAAAAAUUUGAUAUUCCGAAGUCGCCCAAACAAGAAAAUGCAAAAUGGCUCCAUAGCGCCCCCUAAGGUGAAAAUUCACAUGACGGCUGUACGCUUUGUCAUAUUGACACAAAAAUUGACACACACAUGUAUCUCAAUAAGAUCUACAAAAAAGUCAGUGCGGGCGUAUCUGUCAAAUGUACGGUUAAUGGGUUAUUUUGCAUUGUUUGCAGAUCUGCACACAUUGGAAUUUCGCUAACUCCUCCGAAGGCUUUCGUUCGACCGGCACCACAUUUGCGCAGGCCAAUCUACCCCCCAUGGCCAUUAAAAGUUGUACAAAUCAUGACGCUGCACUCCACGGUUUACGUUCUAUGGGGCGCCAAAGAUAACCCAAAAUCCACAUUCUUAAAAGUCUUAUAACUUUUUAUUUUUGUCCUCACUGCCCUCCAAGUUUUCUAGGAUGAUGCAAUGUCCAGCCAUCAACACAUUUGUGAAGGAAUUUUUACUCCCCAAAAGAGCGCCCCCCCAUGGCAGGAGAAAAAAGUCAAUUUUUUCUUGUCCCCUUACAUGAAAAUACACAUUGUUGAGUGUCACGCCUGAACGCUUUGUCAUAUUGACACAAAAAUUGACAAUCAUGUGUAUCUCAAUUAGAUCUACGAAAAAGUCAAAAAGCGCGUAUCUGUAUAAUGUACGGUUAAAGGGCUAUUUCGCAUUUUUUGCCGAUUCGCACACAUUGGAAUGUGGCUAUCUCCUCCUAAGGCUUUCGUCCCACCGAUACCAAAUUUGCUCAGGGCAAUCUACACCCCAUGCCCAUUCAAAGUUGUAAAAAUCAUGACGCUGCACCCCACGGUUUACGUUCUAGGGGACGCCAAAGAUGACCCAAAAAUCCACAUUCUUAAAAGUCAUUUUGGCCACUGCAGGAGUACAGAGUACUGCAGUUCUAGGGGGCGCCAAAGAUGACCCAAAAAUCCACAUUCUUAAAAGUCUUUUUGGCCACUGCAGGAGUACAGAGUACUGCAGGAUACACACACAUAUACACACACACACACACACACACACACACACACACACACACACACACACACACACACACACACACUCAGAGUCUGUUUUUUAGCACCUGCAAAAACAUGCUGUUUACAUAUUUGACAAGAAUGCAGAGGCUUCCUUUUGCCCCUGAAAAAAAUCAGAUUUCAAACACAACUUGACUGUUCAUUUCUCCAAAAGACAACCAUGAAGCUCCAUCCAAACCUGAAGCAGAUAGUUGGUGCAUGUGUACAGUAACCUGAGGGGAGUGAGGUGACUAUUUCUGAGGAGAACAUGAGCAGUGAAGAUUCACCUUGGAGCUAGAACAGGGACGUGCACAUGAUUAUACAGGGGCAGGGGCUCAAGUUUUUUCCAGUCAUUUAUACAAUAUGGAAAUUAAUGUGAAAUUAAACCACAAAUAUGUGUGAUGAACUGUUUUUAAAACUUAAACUUCAAAUAAAAAUUGUAAACUUCAAAACAUAUGCAAAUUUUUAACAAAGAACAUAGUAAUUUACCUCUAUUGACAUCAAAAUGCAGGCAAUGGCCCAGGCGUUUUUUGUAAAAUUAUUUACAAAACACUGUAUAGUCUCACAAAUGUCACUUUUUAUUUAUGCCACUACAAAAAAACAUGAUGUAAAUGAUGCAUGCAUGUCUCCCAUGCAGAGCUCGGAGCGCAUGUGUGGCUCUGCACCCUUAGCAGCGUUACUAACUCCUCAGUAAGGAAAGCCUGCUUCAUGUCAGAGUCUCUAAACUCCAGAAGAAGUCGAUAAAAGUCCCUUUCUUUCUAAAAAAAAGUCGUUAGGGGGUCUGAAAAGUCAUUGAAUCUAACAACAAAGUCGCUAGGUUUGCAACUACGUGUCCCAGACUGCAUCCCUGCUGAGAGUCCCUCCCUCGCUUCUCAUGUUGCAGGAAGAACGUAAGCGCCCUCCCCUUGUCAAUCAGUCACCAUAUAAUUUUGGAUUGGUUGUUGUGGUGAAGUUUUCCACCAAUAGGAGAGAUGUUGUGGUGUGUUUUUUUUUUCUUUUGGCAAGCCUUUUCCGCCUGUAAGACCUGUCGCUAAUGUCUGCAUGCUAUGUUUUCCUGUCUCAUACAGCGCGAUCGAGCGCCGAACGUGAUCAAAAUAAGCAGAAAAAAAGUAUUGCGGACAUAAUUUAUCAUAACUCUGGUUUUAUUUGGCCUAUCAACACAAUUUAAAAACUGGUAUAUAGGUUGAGGUCCUCACUUUUGAGAUAAGUUGAAAUGGAGAGUCAACGAGGCUCCGUCUUGCAGCUACAUCCGGUUAAAUAUGUCAUGUGACUUGAACGCACACACAGACACACACACACGCACGCACACACACACACACACACACACACACACACACACACACUCAGAGUCUGGUUUUUAGCACCUGCAAAAACAUGCUAUUUACAUAUUUGACAAGAAUGCAGAGGCUCCUUUUGCCCCUGAAAAAAAUCAAAUUUCAAACACAACUUGACUGGUCAUUUCUCCAAAAGACAACCAUGAAGCUCCAUCCAAACCUGAAGCAGGCAGUUGGUGCAUGUGUACAGUAACCUGAGGGGAGUGAGGUGAGUGCUUCUGAGGAGAACAUGAGCAGUGAAGAUUCACCUUAGAGCUAGAACAGAGACGUGCACAUGAUUAUACAGGGGCAGGGGCUCAAGUUUUUUCCAGUCGUUUAUACAAUAUGGAAAUUAAUGUGAAAUUAAAACACAAAGUAUUAAUAGAAAGGUAAUGACUGUCCUGUGUAGGUGACAGUGAUAUCCAAUAGGCUAGGCACUCACGAGGCUGGCUGUGGCAAGUGUAAGUGAAAGCAACACGCACUGGCAGGAAGAACAGCAAACGCCGAUGAAGGAAAAGGGUCUUUGCAGUGAUGGGCGUUACCAGAGAGGGCGAUGGCCAGAGGACACAAAUGGGACGGGGAGGCAGCACGUUGGGGGGGGGGACGCGACACGGCUCGGGCCCGCCAGUGCCCCAACGGGGUCCUAGUUAGGGCCCGAGCCAGCUGCAGAGCAGCCGGGCGUAGAGCCCUAUUAUUCCUGUAUAGGUUUUUCUUUCUUCUUUCUUUCUUUCUUUCUUUCUUUCUUUCUUCUUAGGGCCCGAGCGUAGCUGCUAAGCAGCUGCGAGAGCCCUCUUGUUCCUGAUGGAUUCUUCUUUCGUUAUUUUUCCUCCGCUUUAAACUGGAAAAUGGCCCACUUCCCACUGGCGAAAACUCAGGAAAUUUGGCAGGACGACUGGGCCUGGUGAAAAAUUUGAUAUUCUGAAGUCGCCCAAACAAAAAAAUGAAAAAUGGCUGCAUAGCGCCCCCUAUGGUGAAAACUCACCUGACGCCUGUACACUUUGUCAAAAUGACACAAAAUUUGACACACAUGUGUAUCUAAAUAAGAUCUACAAAAAAGUCAGUGCGGGCGUAUCUGUCAAAUGUACCGUUAAAGGGCUAUUUCGCAUUUUUUGCCGAUCCGCACACAUUGGAAUUUCGCUAACUCCUCCGAAGGCUUUCGUUCCACCGGCACCACAUUUGCUCAGGCCAAUCUACACCCCAUGGCCAUUAAAAGUUGUACAAAUCAUGAUGCUGCACCCCACGGUUUACGUUCUAGGGGGCGCCAAAGAUAACCCAAAAAUCCACAUUCUUAAAAGUCUUAUAACUUUUUAUUUUUGUCCUCACUGGCCUCCAAGUUUUCUAGGAUGAUGCCAUGUCAAGCCAUCAACACAUUUGUGAAGGAAUUUUUACUCCCCAAAAGAGCGCCCCCCCAUGGCAGGAGAAAAAAGUCAAGUUUUUCUUGUCCCCUAACAUGAAAAUACACAUUGUUGAGUGUCACGCCUAAACGCUUUGUCAUAUUGACAAAAAAUUUGACAAUCACGUGUAUCUCAAUAAGAUCUACAAAAAAGUCAAAGAGCGCGUAUCUGUAUAAUGUACGGUUAAAGGGCUAUUUUUCAUUUUUUGCCGAUCCGCACACAUUGGAAUUUCGCUAACUCCUCCGAAGGCUUUCGUUCCACCGGCACCAAAUUUGCUCAGGCCAAUCUACACCCCAUGGCCAUUAAAAGUUGUACAAAUCAUGACGCUGCACCCCACGGUUUAGGUUCUAGGGGGCGCCAAAGAUAACCCAAAAAUCCACAUUCUUAAAAGUCUUAUAACUUUUUAUUUUUGUCCUCACUGGCCUCCAAGUUUUCUAGGAUAAUGCAAUGUCCAGCCAUCAACACAUUUGUGAAGGAAAUUUUACUCCCCAAAAGAGCGCCCCCCAUGGCAGGAGAAAAAAGUCUAUUUUUUCUUGUCCCCUAAGGUGAAAAUACACAUUGUUUAGUGUCACGCCUGUACGCUUUGGCAAAAUGACACAAAUAUUGACACACACAUGUAUCUCAAUAAGAUCUACAAAAAAGUCAAUGCGCGCGUAUCUGUCACAUGUACGGUUAAAGGGUUAUUCCGCAUUUUUUGCCGAUCCGCACACAUUGGAAUGUGGCUAACUCCUCCUAAGGCUUUCGUCCCACUGGCACCACAUUUGCUCAGGCCAAUCUACACCCCAUGGCCAUUAAAAGUUAUUCAAAUCAUGACGCUGCACCCCACGGUUUAGGUUCUAGGGGGCGCCAAAGAUAACCCUAAAAUCCACAUAUUUAAAAGUCUUAUAACUUCUUAUUUUUGUCCUCACUGGCCUCCAGGUUUUCUAGGAUGAUGCAAUGUCCAGCCAUCAACACAUUUGUGAAGGAAUUUUUACUCCCCAAAAGAGCGCCCCCCCAUGGCAGGAGAAAAAAGUCCAUUUUUUCUUGUCCCCUAAGGUGAAAAUACAUAUUGUUGAGAUUCACGCCUAUACGCUUUGUCAUAUUGACACAAAAUUUGACAAUCACGUGUAUCUCAAUAAGAUCUACGAAAAAGUCAAUGGGCGUGUAUCUGUCAAAUGUACGGUUAAAGGGCUAUUUUGCAUUUUUUGCCGAUUCGCACACAUUGGAAUGUGGCUAACUCCUCCUAAGGCUUUCGUCCCACUGACACCAAAUUUGCUCAGGCCAAUCUACACCCCAUGGCCAUUCAAAGUUGUAAAAAUCAUGACGCUGCACCCCACGGCUCACGUUCUAGGGGGCGCCAAAGAUGACCCAAAUAUCCACAUUCUUAAAAGAAUCCACAUCCCCCCCCCAUCCCCCAUCCCCCAUGGCAGGAGAAACAGUCAAGUUUUUCCUGCCCAUCACUCAAUGGCUCAAUCGCAUCGCUCUCCCGGCAACACCGUAACGAGGAGCAACUUGCCGUUUGGAUAUAUCCUAGCUGUGUUUGUGCCCUCACUCAUGGUCCAGACUUUUUUCAAAUAGGACAUGUAGUUUGUCUGCAGCGAGUGUUUUGGUAGAAACUGCGCCUCCCAUUCAUUAUAAUGGGAAAUGACCACAGACAAGUGCGCACACCAUCUUUGGACCUUGAGUGUGACGCGAUCGGGAGGGGGAGGCGGUCGCACUGGGGGCGGCGCAACGCGGCUCGGGCCCGCCAGUGCCCCAACGGGGCCCUAGUUAUUUUUCCUCCCCUUUGAAGGGGAAAAUGGCCCACUUCCCACUGGCGAAAACUCAGGAAAUUUGGCAGGACGACCGGGCCUGGUGAAAAAUUCGAUAUUCUGAAGUCGCCCAAACAAUAAAAUGCAAAAUGGCUCCAUAGCGCCCCCUAAGGCGAAAAUUCACACUAUUGACUGUCACGCCUGUACGCUUUGUCAUUUUGACACAAAAAUUGACACACACGUGUAUCUCAAUACGGUCUACGAAAAAGUCAGUGCGGGCGCAUCUGUGAAAUGUACGGUUAGAGGGUUAUUUCGCAUUUUUUGCCGAUCUGCACACAUUGGAAUUUCGCUAACUCCUCCGAAGGCUUUCGUUCCACCGGCACCACAUUUGCUCAGGCCAAUCUACACCCCAUGGCCAUUAAAAGUUGUACAAAUCAUGACGCUGCACCCCACGGUUUACGUUCUAGGGGGCGCCAAAGAUAACCCAAAAAUCCACAGUCUUAAAAGUCUUAUAACUUUUUAUUUUUGUCCUCACUGGCCUCCAAGUUCUCUAGGAUGAUGCAAUGUCCAGCCAUCAACACAUUUGUGAAGGAAUUUUUACUCACGAAAAGAGCGCCCCCCCAUGGCAGGAGAAAAAAGUCCAUUUUUUCUUGUCCCCUAAGGUGAAAAAACACAUUGUUGACUGUCACGCCUAUACGCUUUGUCAAAAUGAUACAAAAUUUGACACACACGUGUAUCUCAAUAAGAUCUACGAAAAAGUCAAUGGGCACGUAUCUGUAAAAUGUACGGUUAAAGGGUUAUUUCGCAUUUUUUCCCGAUCCGCACACAUUGGAAUUUCGCUAACUCCUCCGAAGGCUUUAGUUCCACCGCCACCAAAUUUGCUCAGGCCAAUCUACACCCCAUGGCCAUUAAAAGUUGUACAAAUCAUGACGCUGCACUCCACGGUUUAGGUUCUAGGGGGCGCCAAAGAUAACCCAAAAAUCCACAUUCUUAAUAGUCUUAUAACUUUUUAUUUUUGUCCUCACUGGCCUCCAAGUUUUCUAGGAUGAUGCAAUGUCCAGCCAUCAACACAUUUGUAAAGGAAUUUUUACUCCCGAAAAGGGCGCCCCCCCAUGGCAGGAGAAAAAAGUCCAUUUUUUCUUGUCCCCUAAGGUGAAAAAACACAUUGUUGACUGUCACGCCUAUACGCUUUGUCAAAAUGACACAAAAUUUGACACACACGUGUAUCUCAAUAAGAUCUACGAAAAAGUCAAUGGGCACGU